UCCAUGUAAGUCAUUAUGUGGUGGAUGCCCCCCCCCGCCACCACAACAUUUUUGUUGUUGUACUGCUACAAACCUGGUCUAUGCUGAUAUCUACCUUGUGUUUCUCAGUGGCCCCAUUUUGGCUGCAAUCCACAGCUAUGAAAAUUGAAAAGCAACGCUAGAAUGAAUAGCAAACUAAUCCAUAGUACAUUGUUGCUAAUUCUACAAUUUAAGUGCUUAAAUAUAAUGGUUGACGGUAUCAAUAUUACUGAACAAUUAGCAUAUUCUUUAACUUCUAGUUUGAAGCAUUUUGCAGUAAUAGUAUUAUUAAGGAAGUCACUCUACCAUGGUUAUAUGUAGCAUAUUCUUAUAUUUGCUUCCCCUCCGUCACCGUCUGCAUGUCCUAAUAUGCUUCUGAAAGACACUGUCCUCUUUUAGCUGGAUAGCUGUUCUAAAAAUAUACUUCUCACUAUUCAGAAUCAGAGAGUUCUGCAUUAUUAACACAUAGAUCAGACAGCCAUGAUCUGAAGUCGUAUAAGCAAUAAGGAAAAGAUCUGAAUGCUGGAGUUUUUUCAUUAUGCGAUCCUGUAAGCUACCCUUUAAUGCUACAAGGAGGGUUUCAUAUACAGUACUUGCAGCAUCUUGCUGACUUGGUUCAUGUCUUUGGAGUUUACAUAACACUGUCUGUUCUCCUUUCCCUUCCAUAUUACUCUGUGCCUUCCUCGGGUUUGGUCAGCUACAUAAGAGUGCAGAAAUAGUUGAGAUUAAUUGCACCCCCUUCCAAGUGGCCAAAGCAACACACAAAAAAUGCUUGCCUAUAAAGAACAAACAAACCAGAAUAGUUGUUACAACACAACAAAGUUUGAAGAACUGUAUGCAGUGGAAUGCAUACCGUAGAAUGCAAAUGAGCAUUGUGAUCACAGUUGACCCACAAAUGGGACUGGCAUUAAAGUGGGGGAAUGUAAAACAAGUAUAUUUUACAGCCAGUAUGUGACUGUUAUGUGACAUGAAAUCAUUUUAGAGUGUCUUUAAACUUCUUUUGUUGUCCGCCGGCAAUUCUCUUUCUAUUCUUAAAUUGGAAAUAGAGUAGUUGCUUUGAAAGAUGAUAAUCUGAUAAUCAGGCAUCUGAACAACACGACCAGUCCAGCAAAGUUGAUAUCAUUGCUUUGACAUUGGUGAUCUUUGCUUCUUCCAGUACACUGACAUUAGUUCGCCUGUCUUCCCAAGUGAUAUGUAAAUUUUUUCGGAGACACCAUUGAUGGAAUCUUUCAAGGAGAUGGAGGUGGACAUGCUGCUUACAAGAGGUGGAAAAGAUGCUCUGGAAUGAAAAGGAUUUUGUACUGCUAGCUUCAAAUAUACAAACCAAGCAUAGGCAGAGACAGUUUAAAUACUUCUAUAAGCAUCAAUCCAGUGGCCCACAUCAGAUCAGCUAGGAGGGACAGCCCAACACCUCAGGAGAUUUUGCCUUUAGCUUACUCAGUCCAUCUCUGUGUGUUUCUCUAUCAGUGCCAAACAUGUUCCUUUUGUUCUCUGCACAUAAAUCUAGCUUGCAUCAUUCUAGCUGGAGGCUGAUGUAGGAAAGGUGUGCCACAUUCUCCAAACUUCCGAUAGUUUCCCCUACAUUCAGAACAUUGCAGAGAUAUAUUGGUGACAAGAACCCAUAUUUUUACAGCCAGAUCUCAUAAAGAGUUGUUUACUAUCCAUUAAAGAAUAUCAACUCUACAUUAUCUUGCCUGACAAAUGGUAUGGUUAGACCAGUGUACAACCUUUAAACUUUAAAACUGCUAAAUAAAAAAGGAAUUUAAAAAAUAUCCAUUUUGAGCUGAAACUGACUAUGUCAGCCAUCAACAUUUAACUAAGAUUGAGAAAACUAAGUCUUGACAGUGGCUCUGAGCCUUUCUUAACUCACCUCCGCUAAGUCCAAAGCCUUCUGAUUUUGUGCAUGGCACAACUUUUGCAGAAUUUACAAUGGGGGCAAAUUACUUUUACUCUGGGAUAAAGUACUUCCCAGCAGUGCCAGAAAUAGCCAACAGUUCCUACAGAUUCUAAUUAAUCAUUUCUAAUGACGGAUUGUAAGUAGAUUUGUGGUUCCCUCAAACUCAGUGUUGCAUCAGCCAAAGGCAAAACAUAAUGGGCACAGCCUACAGAAAAAUAAACAUGCUUACUUACUGUUGAAAUCAGAGUGAGAUAAGUUCUUAAAUGUGUGCUUGUUCCAUUGAUUUUAGCAGAAAUUAAAUAGACUUUGUACUUUUACUGUAGUCUGUGUAUUUGAUCCUUCGUGGUAAAUAUGUAUCCAAUAAAUGUGUAUUCAGUC